ACCUUAGAGACCAACUAAGUUUGUUAUUGGUAUGAGCUUUCGUGUGCAUGCACACAAAAGCUCAUACCAAUAACAAACUUAGUUGGUCUCUAAGGU
rnacentral:miRNA from 1 species